rnacentral:rRNA from 1 species
GCAUAUCAAUAAGCGGAGGAAAAGAAACCAACAGGGAUUGCCCCAGUAACGGCGAGUGAAGCGGCAACAGCUCAAAUUUGAAAUCUGGCCCCAGGCCCGAGUUGUAAUUUGCAGAGGAUGCUUUUGGCGCGGUGCCUUCCGAGUUCCCUGGAACGGGACGCCAUAGAGGGUGAGAGCCCCGUACGGUUGGACACCAAGCCUUUGUAAAGCUCCUUCGACGAGUCGAGUAGUUUGGGAAUGCUGCUCUAAAUGGGAGGUAUAUUUCUUCUAAAGCUAAAUAUAGGCCAGAGACCGAUAGCGCACAAGUAGAGUGAUCGAAAGAUGAAAAGCACUUUGAAAAGAGGGUUAAACAGCACGUGAAAUUGUUGAAAGGGAAGCGCUUGUGACCAGACUUGCGUCCGGUGAAUCACCCAGCUCUCGCGGCUGGGGCACUUUGCCGGCACAGGCCAGCAUCAGCUCGCUGUCGGGGACAAAAGCUUCGGGAACGUAGCUCUCUUCGGGGAGUGUUAUAGCCCGUUGCAUAAUACCCUUCGGUGGGCUGAGGUACGCGCUCCGCAAGGAUGCUGGCGUAAUGGUCAUCAGCGACCCGUCUUGAAACACGGACCAAGGAGUCAACCUUAUGUGCGAGUGUUUGGGUGUUAAACCCCUACGCGUAAUGAAAGUGAACGCAGGUGAGAGCUUCGGCGCAUCAUCGACCGAUCCUGAUGUUCUCGGACGGAUUUGAGUAAGAGCAUAUAGGGUUGGACCCGAAAGAAGGUGAACUAUGCGUGUAUAGGGUGAAGCCAGAGGAAACUCUGGUGGAGGCUCGCAGCGGUUCUGACGUGCAAAUCGAUCGUCAAAUAUGCGCAUGGGGGCGAAAGACUAAUCGAACCUUCUAGUAGCUGGUUUCCGCGA